CAGGAGCAGGACUGCUUCAAGAUUCUAAAGUUUAUCGCAUGCAAGGAAGGUAGCCUACAAAGAGCUCUGCACCUCAUCACCUCCACUCAAGAUCAAGAACAAUUAAAUCGGGACACUUUUUUUCGUGUCACGAAUGCCAUCAAUAAAAGGAUUCUGGUGGAAAAGUAGGAUGUGCGUAUCACCCCUCUUGUGAAUGCAGCUAUUGCUUGUGGUCGUGAGGCAAGCGUAAUGGCUGCGUUGGAUUCAGUUGGCUACUGAGCUGCUCAAUAGGAGAAUGCUCAAAUAGGUGGAUAUUGGAGCCCUGAUAGGAAAACCGUCAUCUGGCAGCAGACACUUUAUUGAACUUCUCGACUUGGGGCCCCACUUCUCCCGACAAGAAGACCAAGUCAUUUCCCGAGACGUAGGGGCCUCUUGGAAAGCCUCAGCAGAACCUGUCUAGUGCUGCGGCUUCUACCAGAGCUUGGAAAAUUGCAUUCAUUGUGCAGUGUAAUGUUAAUUGUGUAUUACAGCGUAUUAUAAGCUUCAUUUACAAAUAGGGUGUACUGUGUUCAAAUAAAAUGUUUACUAAUGCUAUCUUAUGUCUUCAUAUUUAAUGUAUUACUGUAAUGUGGAUAAGCUUUCUGCAGCUCAGCCCAGAGGAACUGUUUCAGCUCAUUUUAAACAAACAUUAGAAUAUUUUUGUAAUAUGCAUGUCGAAGGCCUCAGGAAUAAAAAACAAUAUCUAUA